rnacentral:rRNA from 1 species
AUGAGCAAGCUCGACUACUGCUUCAGCAAUGACUACAUGGUGCUGCGCCCGGACAGGGCCAGCCCGUUCGACCUCCUGCACCUCCUCUUCUCGCCCAAGGUCGGCCGGAACAAGGCCGUCGACUGCUUCACCAGCACCGAGAUCCGCAGCUUCCCCCGCCGGCUCGCCCUCUUCCUCAACCUCCUCCUGCAGAUCCUCCUCCUCUCGCUCGCCGGCCCCGUGGCCGCCAUCGGCGCCGCCGUCGAGCUCGCGCUCAACCUCAUCGACAACGUCCUCCACGGGAAGAUGGAGUAUCCGGACAGAUCGUCGGCGUCGUACCGGUCGCUGACGGGGCUCAUCGACCGGCGAGUCGAUCUGGACAGGAGCAUCUCGCCGGCGGACAGCCGGCACCACGCCGCGCUGUGCGUCAUGGCGUCCAAGGUGGCGUACGAGAACGAGGCCUUCAUCCGCGACGUGGUCACCCGCCGCUGGCAGAUGGAGUUCGUCAAGUUCUACAACUGCUGGAACGAGUUCGAGAGCGCGUACACGGCGCAGGCGUUCGUGUUCUGCGACAAGGCGGGGCCGGACGCGGAGCUGGUGGUGGUGGCGUUCCGGGGGACGCCGGCGUUCGACGCGGCGCGGUGGCGCGCCGACCUGGACCCGUCGUGGUACAAGGUGCCGCGGCUCGGGCGCGCGCACGCCGCCUACACGCACGCGCUGGGCGCGCAGCGCAACAUGGGGUGGCCCAAGUGGGUGGAGCACGUCAAGGGCAAGCCCCAGAAGGUGUACGCGUACUACACCAUCCGCGAUGCCGUGAAGGGCCUCCUGGAGGCGAGCCCGAAGGCGAGGCUGCUGGUGACCGGGCACGGGAGCGGCGGCGCGCUGGCGGUGCUGUUCGCGACGGUCAUGGCGUACCACCGGGAGAAGGCGGUGAUGGACCGGCUGGCCGGGGUGUACACCUUCGGGCAGCCGCAGGUGGGCGACGCCAUGCUCGCCAUGUUCGCGGAGCGGAACCUCGACAGGCCCAAGAAGCGGCACUUCCGGUUCACCUACGCCGGCGACCCGCUGCCGCGGCUGCCCGGUGUGGGCUCCUCCGCCCAUUUCCUGCACUUCGGGCUCUGCCUCCACUUCGACGUCUCCUACAACCUCAAGGUGUUCACGGAGAUACCGGGCGAGACGGCGAGCCCAUCGUCGUCGGCGGCGGGGCUCGUGGCGAGCCGGGUGAACGCGGCGCGGGAGCUGGCGCGGAGCGCGUACCUGAGCUACCGGAGGGGCGCCUACUUCCGGGAAGGGUGGGAGCUGCUGCUGUUGCGCGUCCUGGCGGUGGCGCUGCCCGGCCUGCCGUUCCACAGGGCGCACGACUACGUCAACGGCGUCGCGCUCGCCGCCCGCAUUCCCAAGGACGAGUGA